rnacentral:rRNA from 1 species
CCUACGGGGGGCUGCAGUGGGGAAUAUUGGACAAUGGGCGAAAGCCUGAUCCAGCAAUGCCGCGUGAGUGAAGAAGGUCUUAGGAUUGUAAAGCUCUUUUAAUAGGGAAGAUAAUGACGGUACCUAUAGAAAAAGCCCCGGCUAACUUCGUGCCAGCAGCCGCGGUAAUACGAAGGGGGCUAGCGUUGUUCGGAUUUACUGGGCGUAAAGGGCGCGUAGGCGGCCUGCAAAGUUAGGAGUAAAAGCCCAGGGCUUAACCCUGGAACUGCUUCUAA